UACGGGGGGGCAAGCGUUGUUCGGAAUUACUGGGCGUAAAGGGCUCGUAGGCGGCCUAACUAAGUCAGACGUGAAAUCCCUCGGCUUAACCGGGGAACUGCGUCUGAUACUGGAUGGCUAGAGGUUGGGAGAGGGAUGCGGAAUUCCAGGUGUAGCGGUGAAAUGCGUAGAUAUCUGGAGGAACACCGGUGGCGAAGGCGGCAUCCUGGCCAGUUAUGACGCUGAGGAGCGAAAGCCAGGGG
rnacentral:rRNA from 1 species